CUACUACUACUACUACUACCACCAACCAAGUAGAGCAAUCCAAACUCCCUUUGUUUUGUGUUUGUUCUGAGUAAAACGUGACCACAACGAACAAAGCAAAGAGAAGAAGCUCAAGCAAACACAAACAAAGGAGGAAUAAAAGAAGCAAGGGAGCCGUUUCAAAGGCAUAUCCCACCCACUACUACUACUACUACAAUACCUAUAAUCAUGAAUGGUACCGAAGAAAAUGUCAUUCAGAAUGAAAACGAAGACCAGUCGGUAACAGAAGAUAUUGUUGAUCCAUGGAAUGUACAGGCAUCAAGUAAUAAGGGAAUUGACUAUGAUAAGUUAAUAGAAUUUUGAACCUCGUUGAGCUGGUAAAAAAUUCUUUCUGUACACGGUCGAGGCCCAUCAUCCGAGUCCCAUGCCACGUUGGUCAUCUCAUCCCUCUUUAUGACCAAAUCCUCCAGAGAAUGAUUGCAGAGCAUCAAGAACGGCGGAAAGCCGUAACAGCUGAUGAUGUAAAGAACUUCAUGACUCCGAGGCCUUUGAAUUUUGUUGUAAAUGGUUAUUCAUCAACGGGACCAACAGCUUUAUGUGACUUCCAAACCACGUCGAGAGUGAACUAUCACCAGAAAUGCACAUGAUCUCACGCCUCAAUGGAUUGCCCCGAGAAUUGAAGUCGCGGCCACCGAGGUGGUACACCAGCACCAUACUGACCACGCCACUGAGGCGCUUGGGAGCUGUGCUGAUUUUUCUGUUAUGUUACAUAUGAUUUUAUGUGCUUUAUCACUUUCACAUAUUCUGAUGUUCAUUUGUACCUUCUUGCCUAUUCAGUGGUAUCAAUUAGGUUUUGUCUUUGUGCCUUUUGCUUUCAUUCAGUGAUAUUUAAAGCAGAGUCCUCAUGAUCAAACCUUGUUCGAUGUGAUG